AUUGAACGCUGGCGGCAUGCCUAACACGUGCAAGUCGAACGGGGCAGCAAUGCCUAGUGGCGGACGGGUGAGGAAUACGUAGGAAUCUGCCCUUAAGUGGGGGAUAACCAGGGGAAACCCUGACUAAUACCGCAUGAUCUCUUCGGAGCAAAGAGGGGGACCGCAAGGCCUCUCGCUUCUGGAUGAGCCUACGUCUGAUUAGCUAGUUGGUAGGGUAAAGGCCUACCAAGGCGACGAUCAGUAACUGGUCUGAGAGGAUGAUCAGUCACACCGGAACUGAGACACGGUCCGGACUCCUACGGGAGGCAGCAGUGGGGAAUAUUGGACAAUGGGCGCAAGCCUGAUCCAGCAAUGCCGCGUAUGUGAAGAAGGCCUUCGGGUUGUAAAGCACUUUAGCCUGGAAAGAAAAGACUUUGGUUAACACCCAAAGUCUUGACGGUACCAGGAGAAUAAGCACCGGCUAACUCUGUGCCAGCCGCCGCCGUAAAAC
rnacentral:rRNA from 1 species